GACCCCUACGGGACGCAGCAGUGGGGGAUAUUGCACAAUGGGAGAAACCCUGAUGCAGCGACGCCGCGUGGGUGAAGAAGUAUUUCGGUAUGUAAAGCCCUAUCAGCAGGGAAGAAAGAAGACGGUACCUGACUAAGAAGCCCCGGCUAACUACGUGCCAGCAGCCGCGGUAAUACGUAGGGGGCGAGCGUUAUCCGGAUUCACUGGGUGUAAAGGGAGCGUAGACGGCCGUGCAAGCCAGGAGUGAAAGCCCGGGGCCCAACCCCGGGACUGCUCUGGAAACUGU
rnacentral:rRNA from 1 species